rnacentral:lncRNA from 1 species
UUAAAGCUAAUAUUACCUCAAAAUCGCUCUCUUUUUUCAUAAGCACAUACCUCAAAUCAUUAAAAAAAGACAUUAACUAACUGACAUUACAACUAAGAAAAAUAUGUAUAUAUCACAAAUUAAAAUUUGAGAAGUCCUAAUUAACCUCCUAACAGCAAUCAUAUACCAAAUCCAAAAAUAAUCCAAAAAGAAAUUAACACGAUCAAACAGAAAAAAACAAACUUUUUUUUUCCCAAAAAAAAAAUCACACCUUAAGCAAGAAUUCUGCUCAAACUGUCCAUUUGAUGAUCUUGAUCCUUGGAUCGACCUUGCAUUUCACGCGCGAAGUUGUCGCUGACGUCGCCGUUUUACCGCUGGGGAUCGAAAUCUUAAUUCCGUCGCAGGUAACCCUAAUUUUGAGAUUCUUCGUUUUGAUUUUCCCAAUUUUCACCCUCACUUUGGUAUCCAGUUGAAUCUUCAGCGGCAGGCUCUUAUUCUUCAAGCUUGAUUUCAGCUGCGAAGCGUCGGCGCCGUCGGAGAUUUGGUUUCUCGAGCUCGAAACGACGCUUCUCAACGUCGUAACGUUCUUCUUCCCCUGCGCGAAGCCGGCGAAGGAUCCGUCGGCAAUGUCGAGAUCGCCGGAGAUAAAUUUCACCGAAAUCG